rnacentral:rRNA from 1 species
GACGAACGCUGGCGGCGUGCCUAAUACAUGCAAGUCGAACGAAAGCGACCGGUGCUUGCACUGGUCAAUCUAGUGGCGAACGGGUGAGUAACACGUGGGUAACCUGCCCAUCAGAGGGGGAUAACAUUCGGAAACGGAUGCUAAAACCGCAUAGGUCUUCGAACCGCAUGGUUUGAAGAGGAAAAGAGGCGCAAGCUUCUGCUGAUGGAUGGACCCGCGGUGCAUUAGCUAGUUGGUGAGGUAACGGCUCACCAAGGCCGUGAUGCAUAGCCGACCUGAGAGGGUGAUCGGCCACAUUGGGACUGAGACACGGCCCAAACUCCUACGGGAGGCAGCAGUAGGGAAUCUUCCGCAAUGGACGCAAGUCUGACGGAGCAACGCCGCGUGAGUGAAGAAGGUUUUCGGAUCGUAAAACUCUGUUGUUAGAGAAGAACAAGUGCUAGAGUAACUGUUAGCGCCUUGACGGUAUCUAACCAGAAAGCCACGGCUAACUACGUG